UUCAGCCUCGGCUUUUCCACAAUGAUUAUGCUAUGAAACACUUCCCAUCUUAGUCCAAACCUUUCUAAUUUACUUUUAUAUUUUUCCAUUAUGUGAAAAUUGGGACUUCUUUUUUAGGCUUUCUUUAAUUGGUUUAUUUUAAUGAUAUUUACAGACAUCUUACACGUAUGUACCUAUUGGAUGGCAGGCCAAGAUCGACCACGUCACACGAGUUUCUGAUUAUGUUAUAGAAGCGCGUUGUGAUGGUAUUUGUGGUGGAUGCAGACCUGAUUCAAAGAUAACCUUUGUACUGGAUUCUAGUUAUGUCCCGCCAUUGAAUGAUGCUACAGUUGUGAGCUGUAAUGGGAAUUAGUCUGAAACUAUGUUGUUAGAAACAAUUUGCAUAAACAAUACAUUUGCUAUAGGGUGGUGUGAAUCAAAGUACCAACGCCAAGCGCGGAUCACUUCAUUUUGGUAUAUCCAUAUCCGUUCAUAUUUUGAUAUAUUCUGAUAUGGUGCCCGUUUAUAUUUUAAUUUAGAAAGACUGUAUCUAAGCCAAACACCACCUCUCCUACCUACCCCCAGGAUCUACUUCACAUAAAAUCAUCACAAAGGGAAACCCGU